GACGAACGCUGGCGGCGUGCUUAACACAUGCAAGUCGAACGGUGAAGCGAGUGCUUGCACUCGUGGAUCAGUGGCGAACGGGUGAGUAACACGUGAGUAACCUGCCCAUCACUCUGGGAUAAGCACUGGAAACGGUGUCUAAUACUGGAUACGACCAACCCUUGCAUGGGGUGUUGGUGGAAAGAUUUAUCGGUGAUGGAUGGACUCGCGGCCUAUCAGCUUGUUGGCGGGGUAAUGGCCCACCAAGGCGACGACGGGUAGCCGGCCUGAGAGGGUGUCCGGCCACACUGGGACUGAGACACGGCCCAGACUCCUACGGGAGGCAGCAGUGGGGAAUAUUGCACAAUGGGCGAAAGCCUGAUGCAGCGACGCCGCGUGAGGGAUGACGGCCUUCGGGUUGUAAACCUCUUUCAGCAGGGAAGAAGCGAAAGUGACGGUACCUGCAGAAGAAGCACCGGCUAACUACGUG
rnacentral:rRNA from 1 species